rnacentral:misc_RNA from 1 species
AAGUCGUAACAAGGUAACCGUAGGUGAACCUGCGGUUGGAUCAUUAACAAAUUUAUUAAGAACACUUGAAAGAGAUUCGUCGAUUUCAUAGUGCUCCUAACAUCAUGUGAACCAAUUACUGAAUCUUGGUAAUGCUGAAGGAUGUAUCUGGCAACGGGUACAUACGAUGCUUACCAAAAAUCUAAACAUUAUAAAUAUUAAAAACUUUGUCUUGAAUUAAAUUAUAUUCUAAUUUAAACAACUUUUGACAACGGAUCUCUAGGCUCUC